ACAGCUUUGGACAAAAGUCUAUAGCCAGUGCAUUUGAAACUCCCCUUGCACAAGGGCUGACUGUAGCUGGGGAAAGACAGUUUACUCAUUUGCUCUCUCCUUUCAUACAGUUAGCUGGCCCUCUUCUCAGGUGUAGAUCACGUAUUAUCAUUUCACCUGUUUUUGAUUCUCUGAUGAGGCAAGUCCCAGGACUUAUCAGCAGGGAUAGGCCUCAUUGCCAAGACAGCUCU
rnacentral:lncRNA from 1 species